rnacentral:lncRNA from 10 species
CAUAAUUAGAAAAGUAUCACCAUUUUCCUGGGACAAAAAUAUGUAAGUUUAAACAUUUUUAGUGCCAGGUCAGUAGUCACGAUUUACCAACAGCAUUUUUUAUUUUAAAAAUACAGUUAGUGACUACACCAUUGGCUAACAAACUGAGACUUAAAGCAUUCUCUAGAUGCAAAUGCUACAAAUAAAUCAAAUUAUUAGGCAUAUUCACUAAUACUUACAAACUUAACUUCAUAUAUAAAGCAAGGUAGAUCACCAGUGUGGCCAUGCAAACAGGGUUUGAGGACUUCAAUAUUUAAAGCAAGUUAGUCCAACCCACAGCCCAAGGGCCACAUGCAGCCCAGGAUGGCUUUGAAUGAGGCCCAACACAAAUUAGCAAAUUACUAAACUUACUUAAAAUGAUGGGAUUUUAUUUUUUGCCAUUUUUUGGUUUGUGUGUUUGGUUUUUAGCUCAUCAGCUUUGUUAGUGUUAGUGUAUUUUAUGUGUGGCCCAAGACAAUACUUCCAAUGUGGCCCAGGGAAGCCAAAAGAUUGGACACUCCUGAUUUAAAGGGAAAAGGGAGGGCAGAUGAAGAAAGAGGAUAAAAAAAAGAGAGAGAAGGUAGACAAAACAGGAAAGUGGUUAGUCUUUGGAGGCUUUGAUUAGCACUUACUGAAUCUACAUUUUACAUGUGAAAGGAGUGGGUAGCGAAACAGUGAAUUAUGCAUAGUGCUCAGUGCGUCUGCAUUUUUGCAUAAGAUAAAGUAAACAUAGAGGAGGUGCUCAAAUAUGCAUUCCUCUCAGGUGAGCCAAGGGAUGCCCUCUAGGCCUGUCUUUGUCAAGGUACCGGUGAAGAUAAGCUGUUAGUUUACAUUGUCAAGGUGAAAUAGAACAGCGUUCUGUUUUAGGGUAAAGCUCUUGGGGCCCACGAGGAAUUUCCUUGUGAGCAAUUUGUGAAGGAGGCCACCGGGGGAGACAUGUGGCCUUCUGUCUUUGCAGCUAUCUACUUAGGAACAAAAUGGAAGGCAGUUUUUGCAUGAUGCAGUUACUGAGCUUCACUUUUCCCUUUGGCAUAGUGAGUUUGGGGUCCUGAGAUUUUUAUAUUCCUUUCACAGCCUCACUAUACUUGAAUUAAAAUACAAUCUACAUGUUAAAACUGACCACAUCAUUCUUUCCUGUGUGUCUUCAAAGGAUUUAAGGCCCAUCCAGAUAAUCCAAGAUGAUCUCAUUUCAAAGCCUUAAUUAUAUCUUUGAUGACUCUUUUUCCAAAUAAGGUCUCAAUUAGAGGUUCCUGGAAUAAGACACGGACUCAUCUCCCUGGGGGCCACCAUUCAGCCUGAUCCGGAAGGAAGGCCAUGAUUUCAGCUCUCUGGGAUUUGAGACAAAGAGGCCCCUUUUCUUUCAUUUUAUCUUUUCAUGUCUCUUCUUGCCAUGUACCCACAUGAUUGAGUGUGGGCUGAGGGUGAAUCCAAGAAGGGCUUUGUUUUGUGGUCAGUACAGGCUUUGGUCCACAGAGACAACAAUACUUUCAAUACUCUUUUGUUCUGCCCCAGAGGAGCUCAACACAGAAUUGCCUAGAACAAGAAACUGGUGAGAGAAGCUGCAGCCUGUUGAGACUCCACAAGACUGAAGAUAUGAAAAGAGGAAAUAUGCAUGAAUGCCCGCACGGAGAACCACCCCCACCUGCUGCUCCCGCUCUAAUGAUCACGCCCAUUAUCAACUGGGGGAUGGCUCUGUGCCUUGUCCUUGCAUUACAUGGACCAAGAACACUUCACAGGACUCAGAGAGGCAAAAAUAGAUACAAAAGAAGAAGGAAUUACAGAAGAAGUCACAUAACAUUAUUGCCUACAACUGACUGUUUACCUUGAAUACUUGAAGACCAGAAUGAAGAUUCUUGGGGUGAAGAAUUACAGCCUUAGCAUGGAGCAGGCCUCGGUGCAUCGGCUUUCAGCUAGGCAUGCCUGCCAAUGUUCAACGUCCUCCUGGGAUACGGAAGGCACCGUGAUAGACAUCUGGGCAAGUCAACAGGAAGGUGGAUAUCCAAAUCUCUCUCUUCGCAAUGAGUUUCCAGUUAGAUGGAGGAGAGAGUAAUAAAACACAGAGCUGAGAUUCCUGACUUCACAGAUCCCUGAGGAGAUGUUUACUAAAGGGAAUCUUCUGGUCACUGUUACCUUCCUCCGUACUUACCUGCCUCAUGGAUAACACUGAAGAAUGCAGUUUACUUACAUCUUUUUCUGUUUGACAGAAGACAGUUAUUAGUUACCCUUGGGACAUCAAAAUGACCAAGGCAGUGUCUGCUAAGUAUUUGCUGAGACUCUGCUAUGAUUCUUUCAAGUCUAAAGACAGUUAUCUGAAUGAUAUCCCCGUGACAGUGGACUCCUGCACAUUCACAGUCCUGGAAGGAGCCUGUCCACAUUGGCAUUCUGGAAGUCCAUAAAAGACAAACGCAUAUGCAGUCCCCGAGAAAGCAUUGUUGUAAACAAAUCUGCACUAGAUGGAAACUCUGUUAUGUGGUGCCGGCAUGCAUGGAAGAGAACCCGAAAGGAAGAAGCUAUACGACUGGGGACACAUGUCUUAGAAGCACACUCAUUAGAUAAAGUGUCGCAUACUCUUUGAUAAGGCUUGUUACUAUGGAUGUUGUUUGCUAACAUUGACUAUUUUUCCUAACUGCUUAUAGAAACUCCAGGCUGUCACCCAUCUGUUCUCUCAUCAAAGUAGUUUUGGGCCAGCAACUAUUUCAGACAUUUCUACAGUUUCAGAUGUCUCACUCUGCCUAUGACUGUAUGUUGUACUUGAGGACUGGACGCACAGGGUAAAGUGCAAAUAGCAAGCAUUCAGGUCCAACUCUCCUCCUUCUGGUUAACAAUAUGAAAGAAAGAGGUAGUAUCGGAAUUAUUUUAGUUCAAUGUAGCCAU